GUGGCACAUGCAUGAAAUAUUAAAUAUAGACGAAAACAAAAACUAAUUACAUAGUUUAGCUGUAAAUCACGAGACGAAUCUUUUGAUCCUAGUUAGUCCAUGAUUGGAUAAUAUUUGUCACAAACAAACGAAAGUGCUACAGUACCGAAAACUUUUCACUUUUCAGAACUUAAUAUAGAGCUUCGGACAGAGGGUCUAGCAGUCAUGUCUUCAGAGUCGUGUCUCUGACUUCUUCUGUAGUGUUUGACUUGAUGUCUUUUUUUUUUUUGUCAGAGUUGGGUGGUAGUUGGUUGUUGAGUAUUUACUUUCUAGAGCAUUAGUAUACAUACGGUUCGCCACCCCUUUCUACAGGUGGAUUGGUGAACUGUCUAUGCUAACUGUCUGUGGAAAUAAUUUUUUUCAUGGACGGGUAAUUUAGAACCGUCUGUAGAAAUCUUUGUAUACAAAAUAUAAAAUUGACUUUUAAAAAUAGAGAAAAAAGAUUUUAAUUAUAGGAAAGGCGCACUAGCUAAUCGCUCGUCCGUCGCGACUCGCGUAUUUUUUCGCGUAAAAUAACGCGCUUCGCGGUCGGUGGGAUUCAAACCGGAGACCUCACCCUCGCGCGUAGUCUCCUCUACCACUCCACUUAUCAGUCAAUUGUGUCUUCACUAGAGUUUAGUUCCC
rnacentral:lncRNA from 1 species